CAGUAGCCACGGUAAUACGUAGGGUGCAAGCGUUAAUCGGAAUUACUGGGCGUAAAGCGUGCGCAGGCGGUUAUAUAAGACAGAUGUGAAAUCCCCGGGCUCAACCUGGGAACUGCAUUUGUGACUGUAUAGCUAGAGUACGGCAGAGGGGGAUGGAAUUCCGCGUGUAGCAGUGAAAUGCGUAGAUAUGCGGAGGAACACCGAUGGCGAAGGCAAUCCCCUGGGCCUGUACUGACGCUCAUGCACGAAAGCGUGGGGAGCAAACAGGAUUAGAUACCCGUGUAGUCCCUGUCUCUUAUAA
rnacentral:rRNA from 1 species